ACCUGAGUCAGGGGGAUCUUGUUAAAAUGCAGAUUUUCAGUCAGUAGGUGGGGGUAAAAUUCUGCAUUUCUAACAAGUUCCCAGGUGACACUGCU
rnacentral:pre_miRNA from 1 species